UGAUGAUGACAGAGUGAAUACCCUUCCCAUGGCUCUUUAGGGGUGCUUCUCCCACCCAGGCAGACUGGCAUCUUUAAAGUGGUAAGUGUGCACCAUUGUAGCUAAUGCCCGAGUCAAUUUUGCAGAUACAAGCUCAACGUUAGCAGGUUCCCUCUUUGCUGCAGAUUCUUGGAGUGGACAAAAAAGGAAACACACCACAGCCAUCUUAGUGAAUUACACAGUGCUGCUUGCCCUGGUGAGGCCGUGAUGAGGGAUAUGGGGAGGGGGCCAUAUCCCUCCAGGCAUGAACUGUUUUUCCCCAGGAAGAUUCUUUUCACUUCCUUUUCGGCCUACUCAAAUGCUCCUUUGACUUGAACUGAAGUCACAGCUCAAGGUGCACUUUUGACUAGGACACCUGCACAAGGUCUGACCGUCUCGCCAGUGUUCAAAAACCGCUUGUGAAAGGAAUGAGCACAGCCCUGGAGGUAGACGAGACAUCUUCCCCAGCCCAGGUCCCAAGUUCCUCAUGUUCCUCUCACAUCAAUGAAGAGGCUCCUCUCUGCCCUCCAGUCCUUACAGCACUCCUAUGAAACAGAUACCAUCACCCCCACUUAUCAGAUGAAAAAAAACCAAGGCUCAGAAAAGUUCAACAACUUGCUCAAGAUCAUUAGCAGAGCUGGGAUUUGGAAACAAACAGUAGACCCCAGAGCCCCUACUUUUAAAUGCAGCUCUGCCGAGAGAUGCAGAAGGCAGGCCAGUGCCCUGUUAUCCA